rnacentral:lncRNA from 1 species
AGCAAUCAAACAAUGAGAUUAGCAUUUAUACAAGGCUUGCACGAGGGCAAGCAACAACGGAAGCGAAAGCUCUAAGCUAGUAUAUUCAACCAUACAUAAUACUUGAUCACAUUUGAACCAAAUAAAAGUAAACUGAACUAUCACAUUUCUUUGCUCUCAUUCAUAAUUCUUUACAUUUAGCCAUUCACCAAAAUUACAUAUUUGUUAUCAACUCUACAACUUUCUAAAUCAACAAA